rnacentral:rRNA from 1 species
UACGUAGGCAGCGAGCGUUGUUCGGAAUUACUGGGCGUAAAGAGUGUGUAGGCGGCUCCGUAAGUUUGGUGUGAAAUCUCCCGGCUUAACUGGGAGGGUGCGCCGAAGACUGCGGGGCUGGAGUAUGGGAGGGGAAAGCGGAAUUCCUGGUGUAGCGGUGAAAUGCGUAGAUAUCAGGAGGAACACCUGCGGUGUAGACGGCUUUCUGGACCAUCACUGACGCUGAGACACGAAAGCGUGGGUAGCAAACAGG